UGGAGGUGUGUAUGUGGGUUUUCCUGCAGACCUGAGCAACAUUCCUCAAGUACAGAUAGGAUCACUCAGAGAGAGUGAGAGAGACUCCCUCAGGAAGCCGCUGUGGGGGAACGGACUCUAAUUUUUAAUGAAUAGCCAGGUGCUACAGAGGAAUGAUACGGCAGGAGGGAGUGUGUCGAGUGAGAAGAAGAGGAAGAAGAAGCCCUCCAGGUGUUCUUCAGGUCCACAGUGUUGUCAUCAGGAACCCAACCAAAUCUCAAAUGGGAAAACAGCAGCACCGGUGGAGCCAAUCUACCAUCCCAGCGUCCCCCUGUAAGGACUUUAAUGGGUUCUGGUUUUGACUGACUGUGGAGGCCUUGUUGUGUCGACCGGCUGCUUUCAGACUUUUUUGUGCUUUUUGUGGAAACAGAUGUCAAACGUGGACUCGUGGCAUGCUGCAUGUUGUGUAGCUGCUUAAUGAAGUGCCAGCAGCAGGUGUUACAGUGAAUGCCUAUCAGCUGAUUAGCACAAAAUUGGCUGAUUGAGAGGCUGAAGCAGUGUUGUAUCUCUCCUUGCUGAGAGGGGGGGUAUUAAUUUAAGGUCUGAAAAAGGGUGAAUAUUAAACAGGACUACGUGUAAAAUACAUUAAAAUGGUAAAUCCGGUGAUAUUCAGUCAACAAAUCCCAUAAAAAUACCAAAACCAACAAUACAUUGAUGCAACUAAUAUGCAUUAAUCCAAAGCACAACACACACUGUUGUUUAUUUUGUCCUCCUGCCCCAAAUACUCACUAAACACCAAAUAUGGAUUAAUCCGCCGCUUAGCAAAUUCUCUCUCGCUCUUUUUUGAGUAUUAUUUGCUAAAGACUACAAUGUCCAGCUGUUUUAGGAAACUCCAGACAUUUUUCUUUAUUAAAUCAUAUAUUUUUUACCCUUUUUUUUUUAAAGAUUUACAUCUUCAGUAGAACCAGUGAGCUUGGGGUUGAGUGCUACAGACAGAGCAGGGUACAUCCCUGAGAGUCCUCGAGAGACAGAUCAUUGUUUUGUUGCUGGUUUUGGUCUUUUAAUAUGAUUUGCUGACAAUAAAAAUAAGGAUUAUAGCCAACCUUCUGCUUUAAACUCUCAUUUAGGUCAACUGUCACUCAAGCAAAAGCAACCGCAAGAUGUCUAAAGAUCAAUUUUACCAAGCUACAUCAUACAUUUUGCUUUAUUUAUUUCUUCUUAAAACAGCUUUACAGUAUAAAAGUAAUAAAGGCAGGAACUCACCUGUAGUUUGGUUUUCGCUUGUAAUGAAAAACCUGCAGACUCUCGGCCCCUCCAGGACCGCACAGUAAGUGGCUCCUGCUGCGAGAUGACGUCAAGUGAAUCUUUGUUGUCUCCUGAGGGCGUUUACAUGGAUGAAAAAUGAAAGCUGCAGUGUAUGUAACCGAGUGUACUGUCAUUUAACCUUUGAGCUCAAGGUUCCUUAGAACCUAAACGUAAAGCCGUUCACAUGCAUGUAGGCUGCCUGAUAUAAGUGGAGGAAGAGGGGUCAAAACUCAGGUGGACGUACUGCGGUGGGUUGGAUUGUGCUGACUGCUGCUGGUCAGGAGUUGCUGGAUUUGUAAAUUAAAGUAUCCAGAGAGGAAGUUGCCAAAAUCAAUACACAAUGUUGACAGUUGCCUUUAUCUAAGUGCACAAAAAGGCCAACAUUUGCCACAUCUAAGCUUUUGACGCCGGCUCGGAUGUUUCUUAAUUUUUUUUUCUUUAAUAGUUUGUGAGUAAUAGUCAGUUUAAAUUCCGCCAAAAAAGCCAUAAUCUCUAGUUUAACUCAAAAACCUUCAGGUUGUAGCAAAGCAAUUAUCAAGACACGAUUGAUUCACACCGAUCCUCGUCUGCUGCUAAUUAACAAUCACUUGAGUUAUUGUAUGAAAAAUACCGGAUAAAUGAAGCACAGGGAAUCUCUGCACAACACUUGAUUCCACUGUCUCCACACGGAUGUAUUUUUUGGACUAUCAUAUUAUAUGAGUGAAAAAUGGAGGAAGGAAAAUAUGAAAAUUAAGUGGUUUAUGACUUUUAAUGGAACAAUAUCUUAAUUGAGGUUAAAGAAAGUUGAUUUUGUUUGUAAGAAUAAUGUAAUCAAACUUGCUUUAAAACCAAAAUGAACCAGUCUUUCAUAAGUUGUGUGUGAAUUAAAAGAGUAAUCCACCAAUUUAAGCAUUAAUCCUAUAACAUUGUUGGAUAAUGUACAGUUAAAAUAAAUAAAAGAUCCAAAUCAAUCGCAGCAGAACCAGAGACGUCUUCUCUUUUAUUCUUUUUCCUUGUCGCCUACAUUACUCACAGUGCAACUCGACAUUCACUCAAAAUGAUUCAGACAAUUCACUUUAAGUAAAUGAUGUGCUGUUUGCUGUUUUGUGUUGCCUAAGUAAUUAUUUCCUCAGGUGGUUUCAUAGUGUCUGUAAAUAUCUUUGUUUUUUGUGU